rnacentral:rRNA from 1 species
AUUGAACGCUGGCGGCAGGCCUAACACAUGCAAGUCGAGCGAGCGGCGGACGGGUGAGUAAUGUAUGGGGACUGCCCGAUAGCGGGGGAUAACUACUGGAAACGGUAGCUAAUACCGCAUACUAUCCGAUAACCCAUAUGGGAUUAGCUAGUAGGUGAGGUAAUGGCUCACCUAUGCGACGAUCCCUAGCUGGUCUGAGAGGCUGAUCAGCCACACUGGGACGUAGAAACUGCCCAGACUCCUACGGGGUCAGCAGUGGGGAAUAUUGCACAAUGGGCGCAAGGCUGAUGCAGCCAUGCCGCGGUUAUGAAGAAUGCCCUAGGGUUGUAAAGUACUUUCAGUCUGGAGGCGUUACCGACAGAAGAAGCACCGGCUAACUCCGUGGCAGCAGCCGCGGUAAUAC